UGGGGAAUAUUGCACAAUGGGGGAAACCCUGAUGCAGCCAUGCCGCGUGUAUGAAGAAGGCCUUCGGGUUGUAAAGUACUUUCAGCAGUGAGGAAGGUGGUGUCGUUAAUAGCGGCAUUGCUUGACGUUAGCUGCAGAAGAAGCACCGGCUAACUCCGUGCCAGCAGCCGCGGUAAUACGGAGGGUGCGAGCGUUAAUCGGAAUUACUGGGCGUAAAGCGCAUGCAGGCGGUCUGUUAAGCAAGAUGUGAAAGCCCGGGGCUUAACCUCGGAACUGCAUUUUGAACUGGCAGACUAGAGUCUUGUAGAGGGGGGUAGAAUUUCAGGUGUAGCGGUGAAAUGCGUAGAGAUCUGAAGGAAUACCGGUGGCGAAGGCGGCCCCCUGGACAAAGACUGACGCUCAGAUGCGAAAGCGUGGGGAGCAAACAGGAUUAGAUACCCCCGUAGUCC
rnacentral:rRNA from 1 species